AUCUUGUCGAUUUUCUUUUGGGAAAGAUUAUUAUUUGGACGCUUGAAAAAGUAAACGUUUGUCUGUCGAAGACAAUCACGUGGUUUAAGGUUAUGUGCUUUCCCUAUCAACAGUGCCGAGUACGGCGCCAGUGAAAGGCAGGCGGUUUACCGAUUAUGCACAAGUUGAAGAAAGGAGCUGCUGUGGAAUGGUGAAAAAAUUCCAGGAGCAACAAAGAGUCUUGAUUUUUAUAGGGGUGCAGAUUUUAAAGAAAGAAAACUGUGUUGUAAAGAAAGAAGAAGAUUUUCCAUCAAAUAAUGGUGGAUGACAAAGUUCUUCCUAUGAAUGAUGUCAUAACCCACUUUGAAAUAAAAAUUGUUGGAGAGAAAAGGAUCUGAAGAGGGAGAAAGAAUUGAUUAUAUUGAGAUGGAUUUAUAGACUGUUAGGCCUUUUGCUAUCACUUAAUUCUGUACUAUUAGUUCUGCAACACUAAGCCUAUAAACUUUUGAUGUAAUGGUUUAUCUUAUUUGAGAGAGCAUAGUCCAGUUUUUAGGCAUUUGAAGAUUAAUAAUGCAGAGUAUGUACAAAUGUAAUGGCAGGUAAAAAUCCCCACAAACAGGACACUGAAAAGACUGGAAUUUAGAGAUAUUUCAUUUCUCUCUUGUGUGAAUUAAAAAAAAUUAAUG